rnacentral:rRNA from 1 species
GGUGUAGCGGUGAAAUGCGCAGAUAUCAGGAGGAACACCGAUGGCGAAGGCAGGUCUCUGGGCAUUAACUGACGCUGAGGAGCGAAAGCAUGGGGAGCGAAACAGGAUUAGAUACCCUGGUAGUCCAUGCCGUAAACGUUGGGCACUAGGUGUGGGGGACAUUCCACGUUUUCCGCGCCGUAGCUAACGCAUUAAGUGCCCCGCCUGGGGAGUACGGCCGCAAGGCUAAAACUCAAAGGAAUUGACGGGGGCCCGCACAAGCGGCGGAGCAUGCGGAUUAAUUCGAUGCAACGCGAAGAACCUUACCAAGGCUUGACAUGAACCGGAACGGCGCAGAGAUGUGUCGGCCACUUGUGGCCGGUUUACAGGUGGUGCAUGGUUGUCGUCAGCUCGUGUCGUGAGAUGUUGGGUUAAGUCCCGCAACGAGCGCAACCCUCGUUCCAUGUUGCCAGCGGGUUAUGCCGGGGACUCAUGGGAGACUGCCGGGGUCAACUCGGAGGAAGGUGGGGACGACGUCAAAUCAUCAUGCCCCUUAUGUCUUGGGCUUCACGCAUGCUACAAUGGCCGGUACAAAGGGUUGCGAUGCUGUGAGGUGGAGCUAAUCCCAAAAAGCCGGUCUCAGUUCGGAUUGAGGUCUGCAACUCGACCUCAUGAAGUCGGAGUCGCUAGUAAUCGCAGAUCAGCAACGCUGCGGUGAAUACGUUCCCGGGCCUUGUACACACCGCCCGUCAAGUCACGAAAGUUGGUAACACCCGAAGCCGGUGGCCUAACCCCUUGUGGGAGGGAGCCGUCGAA